ACUGGAAUUGCUGAGUCAUAUGGUAAUUGCAUGUUUUUAACUUUUUGAGGAACUGCCAGACUGUUUUCCAAAGUGACUCUGCCACUUACACAAGCAGU
rnacentral:pre_miRNA from 1 species